CUUCCACCAAUAAAUUCAAGUUUUUAUUCUUGUUUAUAACCGGCAUUUCCAGGUCCGGCCAGGUCCAAAAAAAAAAAAAAGGAAUUGAGGGUUUGCAUCGUUUUUCAAUAUAACUGGAAGCUGUUUUAUCACUUUGUAUUUUGAGAACCGCUCCCUUUCCCGCACACGCAUUGCUGCCUCCUCUCGGGCUUGGUUAAUGAGUCUGUGCGCCAAGCCAGGUCGCUCCGGGCAGUUCGCGCUUCCGCGCCUCGGCACUCGGAUGACCGUGUCCUAUUCGUCUCUCUCGUGAAUGUCGCUGGCUGGUGGCGCGGGGAAACCAUGGCAGCAUUGCGGCUCCGGCGGGCGGGCUCUGCGCGGGGCCCCACCGAGCUUUCCGGGAGCCUCUCCCGCAGCCGAUGGGCAUCUAGGGGCGCAGAACGAAGAGUGGGCGCCGAAACGGGUGUAGGCGCUGGAGGCCGACGGGGAGGCCCGGGGCGGUCAGGCUUCUCGGUAGAGAGGGCCGUGCACCUCGCGGCCUGCGGGCUAAGGCGGGGAGCCGCUCCUGCGGCGGCCG
ensembl:lncRNA novel transcript